CUCACUGAGCUCUGCACUCUUCAUUCUGCUGCAUUACAUAAAUACAGAACAUAUAUGCUGAAGAGAAUAAAUCAAUACAUGGCCUGGGAAAUUCAAGAUUAUCCUAUUUCAGAUUUCACUAUCAUGUAAAGGAGCUUGGUGGACAGUAAGAUAUCAGGUCUAAUGCUACCACUACCAGCCGUCACUAUUAUGCCAGCAGACAGCAGUGAUCUACUUCAUUAUAAGGAAUUUACAGUGUAUUAAGAGUUUUGUGAAGUGAAAGUGAGCUGCCUGAUGCAAGAGCAAGCCAAUGAUACUGACAAUUGUAGUACUUUCCCAUA